rfam:Physcomitrella patens subsp. patens PHYPAscaffold_127 genomic scaffold, whole genome shotgun sequence.
UAAGAGGCUUUUAUUAAAGCCAUGUUAAGUUACCUCAAAUAAUUAU